UACGGAGGGUGCAAGCGUUGUUCGGAAUCAUUGGGCGUAAAGCGCGUGUAGGCGGCUAGGCAAGUCGGUUGUGAAAGCCCGGGGCCCAACCCCGGAACUGCAUCUGAAACUGCCUGGCUGGAGUCCCGGAGAGGAAGGCAGAAUUCCCGGUGUAGGGGUGAAAUCCGUAGAUAUCGGGAGGAAUACCAGCGGCGAAGGCGGCCUUCUGGACGGUGACUGACGCUGAGACGCGAAAGCGUGGGGAGCAAACAGG
rnacentral:rRNA from 1 species